CAACGUAUGGCUUAGUGGUCAGAGGGCUUGGGCGGUUUCCAGACGUUGAAGAGGCGCGGGUUCAAAUCCCGCUACAUUCA
rnacentral:tRNA from 1 species